rnacentral:ncRNA from 1 species
AUAAAGAUAGUGAUGAGAAAUAGUAUCUUUAAAUGAUUCUUUUAGAGAGCUGAAGAUGGUGGAAAUUCAGUAGAUAGUUUAGAGAGAAGCAGUCUUUGAAUCUCAUGCUGAGAACUAGAAAAGUUUUUCUAAUGUAGGCAUUGACGUGAUCCUCGCGUUAUAGAGGAUGGAUUAUUAUAAUCUAGCUGAGUGAGCAGUAAUUUUAUUGCUUAUUAGGGUGGUACCGCGAAGUAAACCUUCGUCCCUUUU